rnacentral:tRNA from 1 species
GCCUGAGUGGCUUAGUCAGUUAAGCAUCUGACUUCAACUCAGGUCAUGAUCUCAUGUCUCGUGGGUUCGAGCCCCGCAUUGGGCU